CCCAGAAAGGUCCAAAACCAAAUCCUAUAAAUUGCAGUAAAAAAUGGAAAAUAUUAAAGUGGAAGAGUUAAAGUGAAAAUCGGAUGGAUUACGCAAUAUCGAGAAUGUUAUCAUUAAAUCAUUAAUUAUGAAGUUUGCACAUAUUUAAAUGGCCUGGGCGAUAGAGGAUUAAGAGCUGCAUGAAAAUUAAAAGUAAAGCGAGGUCUUUCUUCUAAUCUAUGGUAUAUAUUUGAAAUUCAAUCAUUUGUGCAGUAUGAAAGAUUUGUAAUAGAUACUGUACAAGGAUGAAAACAAUUUUAUGCAUUAUUUACACGUACAUGCCUACAAAAGAAAUAAAACGCUUUUACAAAA